ensembl:lncRNA
UGGUGCUGCGCUUAGCUGAGAUGAGAGGUCGCUGCUCUAACUGCCGGAUUGCGUUUGAUGCUGGGCCAUGCGUUUGGGGAUGCACACUGGAGACCCCUUCGGAUACAGACUCCAUACGGAUACCGUCUAAUGGAACAUUUUAGAGCAUUCGAUGCUGCUUAUUCAGUCAACACGCAUUUAUCAAGCCCUGAAGCAGGGCAGAGAUUGUGCUGGGCGCUGAGGAUUCGGUGGUGAACUCUUGGAACAGACAAGUAAAAGGACGAUCAGAAUAAGUGUUAAAUCUUAAGAUGGGGAUAGUUCUAUGGGAGCACCCAUGGAGGGGUGGGGCGAGCAAAUCAGAGAGAAAAGAGUGGUCUGUUAGGGACUGCAAAUAGUUCAGGAGAGCUACAGUGGAGAGUAGUGAGAGAUGGGUGUAGAGCAGAGAUUGGCAAACUUUUUCUAUAAAGAGCCAGAUAGUAAAUAUUUUAGGUUUGGUGAGCCAUACUGGCUGGGUCACAGCCACUCAACUUGUAGCUCAAAAGCAGCCACAGACAGUAUGAAUGGGUGGGGCUGUGUUCUAAUAAAACUUUAUUUAUGGACACUGAAGUUUGAAUUUCAUAUAGUUUUCAGUGUCAUGAAAUAUUCGUCUUUUGAUUUUUUUCAACCAUUUAAAAAUGUGAAAACCUUAAAUUGCAAACUGUACAAAAACAGGCAGUAGGCUGGAUUUGGUUGGGUGGUGGUUUGCCCUCUCCUGAUCUAGAAAGCUAAAAUGGGGCCUCAUGGCCUGUGUUAUGUUAAACAGUUAAGGCUUUGUCUGGAGGACUCUGGGCAGAGUCGUAAAUAGGUUUUAAGCAAAGAUAGGAUGUGCGUAAGAAAGAUUUUAACCGAGCCAGGGCUCAUUCUGCUUGCCACAACCUUGAAGCCAGUCAGUUGCAAGAGGAGCCGGUGGUGGAAAAAGGGAUCUAUUUGAUUAGCCAGCAUAAUUGGAAGAUGGUGGGCUCAUGUCCGAAAGACCAUCUUAAACAAGCACAAAGUUUAAGCAGUUAUAUAGGGCUGUGGGCUAUGAAGGAGGGACUCAGGAAUGUUGACCAUCUGACAUCAGUGACUGGAGGGGCCACACCAGGCCUUUCAGUCGUCAUCGAUCGUGGAUGCCAACACAGAUGUUCUUCUCUGAGGAGGUCGUCAUAUUCCUAAGAAACUCAUAAGAACAAAGUCAUCAUCUAUCAGUACAAGGAGGUACAUGUGUCAGCCAGGAUUAUAAAAUCUGCAGAGCGUGCAUAUUUCCCAGAGGAAUCUUCUGCUGCUCUGGGAGCCAGUUAGACUUGGAAGACCACGGAAGAACUUGACAGCAGAUAAGGGCAGAACUUCAUGGUCAUCCCUCGCUGUCACUCCUAGCUGUCUCCAUAGGGCUUCCCUUUGAUUGCUUGAUCGUUCAAGGCCAGGAAAAUGCAGGGCCCUGCGGCAGUGUUAUGAGGUGUCCAGCUUUGGGUGCCUGCAUUCUUCUAGAUAGUUAAAAGAAGUUGUCACAGCUGGGUUUUUUAUUUUUUAAGAAAACAUCAAUUUCUUAACAAGGUAAGAUAAAGUCUUAGUUGUUUCUAACCAUCUAUUUUAAAGGUUAAAGAUGUGUAAGCUCUCAUGAUAUCACAAUUCUUAGAACUAAAGAUUUCCUGCGUGUUUUUGGGCCUGCAGUAUCUUCAAACCAGC